rnacentral:rRNA from 1 species
GAGCACGUAGGUGGGUUUGUAAGUCAGAUGUGAAAGCCUUCCGUUCAACGGAAGAAUUGCAUCUGAAACUGCGAGUCUUGAGUGUAGGAGGGGAGAAUGGAACUUCUGGUGGAGCGGUGAAAUGCGUAGAUAUCAGAAGGAACGCCGGCGGCGAAAGCGAUUCUCUGGCCUAUUACUGACACUCAGUGUGCGAAAGCUAGGGGAGCAAACGGGAUUAGAUACCCCGGUAGUCCUAGCCGUAAACGAUGGGCACUAAGUAGAGGGGUUUU